rnacentral:hammerhead_ribozyme from 1 species
GCACUGAUGAGGAGUCUCACAAUAGGACGGAACGUUCGUCCAGUGC